rnacentral:rRNA from 1 species
GACGAACGCUGGCGGCGUGCUUAACACAUGCAAGUCGAGCGGUAAGGCCCUUUCGGGGGUACACGAGCGGCGAACGGGUGAGUAACACGUGGGUGACCUGCCCUCAGCUCUGGGAUAAGCCUGGGAAACCGGGUCUAAUACUGGAUAUGACUCCAUGACGCAUGUUGUGGGGUGGAAAGCCUUGUGCGGCUGAGGAUGGGCCCGCGGGCCCUAUCAGCUUGUUGGUGGGGUGANGGCCUACCAAGGCGACGACGGGUAGCCGGCCUGAGAGGGCGACCGGCCACACUGGGACUGAGACACGGCCCAGGACUCCUACGGGAGGCAGCAGUGGGGAAUCUUGCGCAAUGGGCGAAAGCCUAGACGCAGCGACGCCGCGUGAAGGAUGACGGCCU